rnacentral:tRNA from 1 species
AGAGCAGCAGUUUCCUAAACUGUUGGUCGCAGGUUCAAAUCCUGUUCGGGGUACCA